AGCUCCUCCUGCCCCUGAGAGGGCUCCAGCUGCUCCUGACCCUGGGCCUGGCUGUUCAUCUUCUCUUCAGCUUCAAUCUCUUCUGAUGUGGGGAUGGAGUUCUUCUUGGGGCGACCUUUGGGUUUCGUGGGUGCUUCCUGUCCACCUUUAAGAACCUACGGUGACAGUGAGGGUGACCAACAGAUAAUGUGUAUGAAAGGACCAGAAUGGCACCUGAAUGCUAACACACAGAUAUUAAGGGGACCUUUAACGAGGUAGAGAUGCUGACAGAAACCAACCCUGGGGAGAAGACGUUCCCUGUAUUUCUUUUCACCUUUAUAGGGCAGCGAGGGCCACAUAACUGAUGACUGUUUCCAUGAAGCUGAGAAACAAGUUUGGAUUCCCCAGCAUGAAUCUCCUCCCAGACACUGCUGCUCCCAUUAGCUGACUUUCUCAGCCUGAAGAUGUGAUGUUCCACUGGACCUCAGG